rnacentral:rRNA from 1 species
GACGAACUGUCCAAACGUUGUUCGGAAUCACUGGGCAUAAAGCGCACGUAGGCGGUCUGUUAAGUCAGGUGUGAAAGCCCCCGGCUCAACCGGGGAACAGCAUCUGAUACUGGCAGACUCGAGGAUGGUAGGGGUGAGUGGAACUCCAGGUGGAGCGGUGAAAUGCGUAGAUAUCUGGAGGAACACCGGUGGCGAAAGCGGCUCACUGGACCAUAACUGACGCUGAGGUGCGAAAGCUAGGGUAGCAAACGGG